UCCGGGGGUUGCCUUAGUAGCGGCGAGUGAAGCGGCAAUAGCUCAAAUUUGAAAUCUGGCACCUUCGGUGUCCGAGUUGUAAUUUGAAGAAGGUAUCUUUGGUUUUGGCUCUUGUCUAUGUUCCUUGGAACAGGACGUCACAGAGGGUGAGAAUCCCGUGCGAUGAGAUGCCCAAUUCCAUGUAAAGUUCCUUCGACGAGUCGAGUUGUUUGGGAAUGCAGCUCUAAGUGGGUGGUAAAUUCCAUCUAAAGCUAAAUAUUGGCGAGAGACCGAUAGCGAACAAGUACUGUGAAGGAAAGAUGAAAAGAACUUUGAAAAGAGAGUGAAAAAGUACGUGAAAUUGUUGAAAGGGAAGGGCUUGAGGUCAGACUUGGUUUUACCAGGCCAGCAUCAGUUUGGAUGGCAGGAUAAUAGCUUAGGAAAGUGGCACUGCUUCGGUAGUGUGUUAUAGCCUGGGUUGAUACUGCCUGUCUAGACUGAGGACUGCGUCUUUGACUAGGAUGCUGGCAUAAUGACCUUAAGCCGCCCGUCUUGAAACACGGGACCCCAAC
rnacentral:rRNA from 1 species